GUUUAAUAAUCAAUCAUUUUCCCUUUGGGCCCGUUUCUUGUCCUACGCAUGCAAGCAAGUUGAAUUGAACUUCUCUAUUAUGCGAUUGACAUCUAAUUGCAUCAUCAUACAACUAAGGGUAAUACAGAGAAUAGGCCUGAUAUUUAUUAGGCAACAUACAAAGUGCUUUGACUCAUCAAUCAUGCAUCAAAUAUACUUGUAGAUGAGGAAAAGACAUCCAAGUACGUGGUAGGGUUCUGCACAUCCAAUCUUGUGUAGUCACUUGGCUUCUAAUAAUCUUGUUGCCGCAGUCCUCUUUGGGUGCACAAUGAGCACAUUUUAUUGAGGACAUCAUUUUUACUUAAUUAUGUGACUGAUGCCUUUGAUCUUUAAUUUUCUUGAUACUUAAUUGAAUGCCAAAGUUUUGAAGUUUUUUUUUCAUUUAUGUUUAGGAAAAAUAUUAAAUGCUUAACAUAGAAAAUUUGAGAUCUCCAACUAAUUUACAGAUUCAAAUUACUGCUAAUUGUGUGUUAAAACAAUUAAAUGAGACACAGUUUCAAACCUUUUGUUAUGUGCAUAAUUUGGAAUUACUUUUACUAGAAUUUUAAAAAGAUACAAAUUACAUGAAAAUCAACUUGAUAAUUUCAUGAUAGUCAGCUAAAUAAAAUAGGGGCUCAUGUUAUCUUACAAAUUAAAUUUAAAAAUAGGUUACUUUUAAAGUUGAUUUUUUUAAAACAGAAAAUAUGGCACAAAGUAGAUGUGAGACAUUUUGAUGGUGUCAUUUCGGCCCUGUUCGCUAAAAUUAGCGGUUCAAGUAGCAGAUAGUGGUUUAGGUAGCGGAUAGCUGUUCAGGUAGCGGAUAGCAUUUCUAAUUUAGCUAUUAGCGGAUAGCUGUUUAGAAGAGCAGUUGAAUAAAAUGUGUUCGAUAAAUUUAGCUGUUGGAUUAGCUGAUUAAUGUAAAUUGACAUAAAAGGAUAUAGAUAAUUUCCAAAGAUAAAGUUUUCAAAGGGUAAUUUUUGGUGAAAAAAUAUGAAACGCUACUUUUGAAUGUCAAACGUUAAUACUAUUAGCUUUUCAAAAAGGCUGCUUAAAACGCUAAACGCUACUUGAAAUACUAGUCAAAACACUACGCUACCGAAUACUAAAAAUUACGCGAUGAGUGUAUUGACUUAGUCAAAACGCUAAACGCUACCUAAAAUGCUGUUGUCGAACACGUCCUUCUUCACAUAAAGAAGCAAAAUACUCGUCCAACAUCUUUAUCCCAUAGGCCAUAGGAUCCGUAAAGCUUAUGGAAUAUUGUCUAUUCUCUAUCCCCGAAAGAUGAAUACACCAUUGAUUCUGGUCUAUGUCCAUGACUGCACUCAUAAAAUCUUCCCGACCCUUAGACGGACUAUAAAUUACUUCCCCACCAUUAUUACAUGGGCAAUAAAUUAUUGAUCAGCUUGUCAUUCAGACGGAUGGAUGCUUGUGGAUGUUGGAAUCACAUUCAUCGUCAUAAUUGAUUAGGGGAAUAUGUCAGAUUAGGGCUAUGAUUUAAGCAAAAUAACUCUUAAUUAAGUUAUUUCAUCAAAAUUUGGCUUAUUCAGAUUGAUAAUCGCAGUGUUUUUAUCUAAACGAACAGGUUGGUUUAAGUGAUUUGAUAUUACUUCCCCUUAAGUAAAGUCUCCGAUUCAAAUCUUGCAAAUGGAAAAAAUCUGUUAUAGGCGAGCUUACUCUUUUAUGGACCAACUCCUAGUUGGUAUCAUUUUUUCCCUGAUUAUUAUUAGCUAAAAGGCAAUCAAAAUACAUAACUUUAACAACAUUCAAGACAAAUAAGAAACCACUACGACACACCAAAAAAACACAAGGUUCUUUUGAUCUAAAACUUCUUACAUUGCUAGUAUAUGAGGCCCUACAAAGCCUCCUCAAUCUAGGAUUUGAAUCACAAAAGAGAUGCCCUGCUUGAUUUGAUGUCAUAUUCGUAUAUGCAUGGUUUUAUCUUAGCCCUUUUUCUAAAAGUCAAUAUAUUGUUGGAAUGUCCAUAUUCAGUGGCCUAAUGUUAAUUGACUAGUGUUCAUAUCAUAUAUCAUAUCAUCAUAUCAUCAUAUAUAUGUAUAUAUGUUUGGGUUUUGGGGUGGGAUUUCAAGGUCUAUGGAUGAGGAAUAUUAAAUGAGUAGAAUUACUAUUUGAUACAUAUGAAUUGGCAAUAUAUAUACAUUUAUUUUAUUAAUUAACUUAGUCCAUUAGUAUAAAUAUCUAAGCAAUUGGAAUGAAAAAUUAUCACUUCAUCUUUCACCACUAAAUCCUUCAUUUAAAUUGUUAUUAAUAGAAAAAGAAAAUAAUAUAUAACAUUGAUAAAAUAGUAUUAAUAGUAUCAGUAACAAUCAUGUAUACCAAUAUACAUGGAUCAUACCCUUCAUUCUACUUCUAGUUCCUUUGUUAAUAGGAGUGGGACUUCUCCUUUUUUCGACGACAACACAAAAUCUUCGAUGUAUAUGGGCUUUUUCUAGUAUAUUUUUUGUUAAGUAUAGUUAUGAUUUUCUCAAUGAAGCUGUCUAUUUAGCAAACAAAUAGCAAUUUGAUUUAUCAAUGUGUAUGGUCUUGGACUAUUAAUAAUGAUUUUUCUUUAGAAUUCGGCUACUGGAUUGGUAAACUUACCUCUAAUUAUGUCAACUACUGUUGCAAUUCUAGUUCUUAUUUAAAGUGAUAAUUAUAUGUCUCAUGAUUGGGGAUAUUUGAGAUUUUUUGCUUAUAUGAGUUUUUUCAAUAUUUCUAUGUUGGAAUUAGUUACCAGUUCAAAUUCGAUGCAAAUUUUUAUUUUUUGGGAAUUAGUUGGAAUGUGUUCGUAUCUAUUAAUAGGGUUGCACCUUGAUGUCGGCUUUUCGCCACCUGGGGUUGUAGGAUGUUCCAAGGGUUAGGCUGUUCACCCAUUAGAGUGGUACAUGAGCUGGGUUCAGAACAUUGUGAGAUAGUUCGGUCAAUGUCCGGUGUGAGCAUUAGAGCAUUGAGAAGACUUUUCUCUAGUACAAAAGGACUGAGAAGGACGCAUCUCUGGUGUACCAGUUAUCGUACCCAUGGUAAACGCUGGAUAGUCAAGUAUGGAGCGGAUACCUACUGAAAGCAUCUUAAGUAGUAAACCUACCCCAUGAUGAGUGCUCUUAUAUUUCGACUUUCCCAAAGCCAUCGAUAGCACAGCCGAGAUACCGAAGGGUUCUCUGCCCCUAUGGGGAUGGAGCGACAGAAGUUUGAGAAUUCAAGAAUAAGGUCACGACAAGACGAGCAGUUUAUCAUUACGAUAGGUGUCAAGUGGAAGUGUAGUAAUGUAUGCAGCUAAGACAUCCUAAUAGACCGAAAGACUUGAAC
rnacentral:rRNA from 1 species